rnacentral:rRNA from 1 species
AACGAAUCGCCUUAGAGUUUGAUCAUGGCUCAGAUUGAACGCUGGCGGCAGGCCUAACACAUGCAAGUCGAGCGGUAGCACAGAGAGCUUGCUCUCGGGUGACGAGCGGCGGACGGGUGAGUAAUGUCUGGGAAACUGCCUGAUGGAGGGGGAUAACUACUGGAAACGGUAGCUAAUACCGCAUAAYGUCGCAAGACCAAAGUGGGGGACCUUCGGGCCUCAUGCCAUCAGAUGUGCCCAGAUGGGAUUAGCUAGUAGGUGGGGUAACGGCUCACCUAGGCGACGAUCCCUAGCUGGUCUGAGAGGAUGACCAGCCACACUGGAACUGAGACACGGUCCAGACUCCUACGGGAGGCAGCAGUGGGGAAUAUUGCACAAUGGGCGCAAGCCUGAUGCAGCCAUGCCGCGUGUAUGAAGAAGGCCUUCGGGUUGUAAAGUACUUUCAGCGGGGAGGAAGGCGAUAAGGUUAAUAACCUUGUCGAUUGACGUUACCCGCAGAAGAAGCACCGGCUAACUCCGUGCCAGCMGCCGCGGUAAUWCGGAGGGUGCAAGCGUUAAUCGGAAUUACUGGGCGUAAAGCGCACGCAGGCGGUCUGUCAAGUCGGAUGUGAAAUCCCCGGGCUCAACCUGGGAACUGCAUUCGAAACUGGCAGGCUAGAGUCUUGUAGAGGGGGGUAGAAUUCCAGGUGUAGCGGUGAGAUGCGUAGAGAUCUGGAGGAAUACCGGUGGCGAAGGCGGCCCCCUGGACAAAGACUGACGCUCAGGUGCGAAAGCGUGGGGAGCAAACAGGAUUAGAUACCCUGGUAGUCC